rnacentral:rRNA from 1 species
AAGCAUAUCAAUAAGCGGAGGAAAAGAAACUAACAAGGAUUCCCCUAGUAACUGCGAGUGAAGCGGGAAGAGCUCAAAUUUAAAAUCUGGCGUGCCUCUGGUCGUCCGAGUUGUAGUCUGGAGAAGCGUUUUCCGUGUUGGACCGUGUAUAAGUCUCUUGGAACAGGGCGUCAUAGAGGGUGAGAAUCCCGUCUUUGACACGGACUACCAAUGCUUUUGUGAUGCGCUCUCAAAGAGUCGAGUUGUUUGGGAAUGCAGCUCAAAAUGGGUGGUAAAUUCCAUCUAAAGCUAAAUAUAGGCGAGAGACCGAUAGCGAACAAGUACCGUGAGGGAAAGAUGAAAAGCACUUUGGAAAGAGAGUUAAACAGUACGUGAAAUUGCUGAAAGGGAAACGCUUGAAGUCAGUCAUGUCUGCCAGGACUCAGCCUUGCUUCUGCUUGGUGCACUUUCUGGUUUGAUGGGCCAACAUCAAUUUUGACCGUUGGAGAAAGGCUCUGGGAACGUGGCACCUUCGGGUGUGUUAUAGCCCUUUGUUGUAUACAACGGUUGGGAUUGAGGACCGCAGCACGCCUUUAUGGCCGGGGUCGCCCACGCAC